rnacentral:rRNA from 1 species
GACGAACGCUGGCGGCGUGCCUAACACAUGCAAGUCUUGGGAGAAAGGGGUAGCAAUAUCCCUAGUAAACCGGCGCAAGGGUGAGUAACACGUAGGCAACCUGCCUUCAGGACGAGGAUAACUCCGAGAAAUCGGGGCUAAUACUCGAUUAUGUCCCGACACGACCUCGUGUCGGGAUCAAAAGCCCCAAAAGGGUGCCUGAAGAUGGGCCUGCGUCCCAUUAGGUAGUUGGUGAGGUAACGGCUCACCAAGCCGACGAUGGGUAGCUGGUCUGAGAGGAUGAUCAGCCACACUGGAACUGAGACACGGUCCAGACUCCUACGGGUGGCUG